GUGUACUUUUUGAUUAGGAUAAUUUCAGUGCCUUAAAUCUUUUAAAUCUUCCUUGGAUUCUUGUCUGCUACUCUGUAUUUGGAGGACUUAGUGAUAUUGCUACUUGGCCCCAGGAAAACAUAAGGCCAAGAUACACUGUGGGAGUUUGGCAGUUGACAGGUACGUAGAAUCCAUUCUCUCUUCUCUAUCACCAUCCUUUAAGAGCCCUUCCACAACUUUAGUACAGCAUCAUCAGGCGGAUUUUGUUGCCUGCAGGCCUUUAUCCAGAGUAUCGCUGGGGAGACACAGUUACUAUGGAUUGGACUGGUGACCACACUCCCUGAGAGGAGAUGGACCUGGGUGGAUGGCUCACCACUAGAUAAAAAGCAAUUGCAAAAACUGGGCCCUGUCGAAGCAGAAGCAGACAGCUGUGGGAUGCUGUAUGGACAUGAAGUGAUUACUGCCGCCUGCAAUACUAUCAUUGCGUGGGCCUGUGAGACAGAAGCCCUUGAUAUAAGUCAUAAUUAGGGGUGGACUGAAGCUGGAACUCCCAGAGUUCAUUGUGGGAGGUGAGGUGGGGUGCUAAGGGAAAACUGGCCCUUUUCCAGGUGAUGAGAAGGAAUAGCUCCACGCAUACUGGGAACCAGCCGCAUCUAUGGGCUUCCUUUCCUUGUCAAAUAUGUGGUCUGGCCAGGGCUGAAGCGUGGUGCUUCCCGGCACCAGCACACGUGAUGCACAGUCAGGCUGAGCAUUUCAUUAAGCAGCGUGUGACCUCAUCAGAACAGGCUGACCUUGCAAAUGAAACCAUGCACUCCUCAGGCCUUUGAACUUCUCACCGGAAACAUUUGCUCACGGCCUGUAGCAGGAGCAUGGAGCUUUUCUUUCCGCUGAGGACUCUGCUCCCUCUGGAGUGACCUGUCAGGACUGUGUGUUGGUGGUGAGCGCGACCCACAGGAAUGUUCUCCCAGCUAACCUCAGAGGAGGCCCCUAGUUCUGGCAUUCAGACAUUUUUAAGUUCAUCUCUUUGCAAAGGCUCUUCCUGAAACGUGGCAGCCAGCAGCGGCUUGUAGCACCCGCUGAGUUUGUGUUUUUCCUGUUGUUUCAUUUGUACUGUGUUGUUUUCUAUUCUUGCAUUUAUUGUUUAUGCCACUGUGUUUUGUGUUCACCUCUUUGCUACUUUUGUGGAAACCAGUAAGUGAUUUGAACAAGGGGUUCAUCCUAGGGCCAACAGACCGCAGGCCUGGGCCUGGUAGCUGGUUCACCCCUUUCCUUUCUGCCACUCAGCUUUUUCCUCUGCUCCUUCCCAGGCAGAGAAGGGCAGGCAGGGAAGGGGUAGACUGCUCUUGCCAGAAGUCUGCACUGAGCAUGUGCAGAGGCUGCCAGGUGCCCUCAGUCCACCAUUUGCCCACCUUUGCAAGUUCCGUUUGACUUCACUGAUUUCAUUAUGACACUUCCAUACCACGCAAUAGCUGAAGCUCCCUGUGGCAUGGGGUCACUUGACCUUACAAAGUUGUCUUCCCAAAUAAAUUUAUUUUUAUUAAAAUUAUUUUAAAUAGUUAAA